CUACGGGAGGCAGCAGUAGGGAAUCUUCCACAAUGGGCGCGAGCCUGAUGGAGCAACGCCGCGUGUGUGAUGAAGGGUUUCGGCUCGUAAAACACUGUUAUAAGAGAAGAACGGCACUGAGAGUAACUGUUCAGUGUGUGACGGUAUCUUACCAGAAAGGAACGGCUAAAUACGUGCCAGCAGCCGCGGUAAU
rnacentral:rRNA from 1 species